GGGAAAAGCUCAAAUUUUGAAUCUGGUGGUCUUUCGGGGCCAUCCGAGUUGUAAUCUAGAGAAGUGUCUUCCGCGCUGGACCGUGUACAAGUCUCCUGGAAGGGAGCAUCAUAGAGGGUGAGAAUCCCGUCUCUGACACGGACCCCCAGUGCUAUGUGAUGCACUCUCGACGAGUCGAGUUGUUUGGGAAUGCAGCUCAAAAACGGGUGGUAAAUUCCAUCUAAAGCUAAAUACAGGCGAGAGACCGAUAGCGAACAAGUACCGUGAGGGAAAGAUGAAAAGAACUUUGGAAAGAGAGUUAAACAGUACGUGAAAUUGCUGAAAGGGAAACGCUUGAUGUCAGUCACGUCCCCCAGGGAUCAACCUCGCUUUAAUCGGCUGGGCGCAUUUCCUGGUGCGGACGGGUCAGCAUCAGUUUCUGUCGGUGUAGAAUGGCCAAGGGAACGUGGCACCUCUAGGGGUGUGUUAUAGACCUCGGUCGCUAUGCGUCGGUGGGGACUGAGGAACUCGGCACGGGCCUCUCAGGGCUCUGUGUCUAGGAUGCUGGCAUAAUGGCCUUAAGCGACCCGUCUUGAAACACGGACCAAGGAGUCUAACAUGCCUGCGAGUGUUCGGAUGCAAAACUCGUGCGCGCAAUGAAAGUGAAAGUCGAGAUCUCUGUCGUGGAGAGCAUCGACGCCCGGACCCGAGUCUUUGACAAAGGAUCUGCGGUAGAGCAUGCAUGUUGGGACCCGAAAGAUGGUGAACUAUGCCUGAAUAGGGUGAAGCCAGAGGAAACUCUGGUGGAGGCUSGUAGCGAUUCUGACGUGCAAAUCGAUCGUCGAAUUUUGGGUAUAGGGGCGAAAGACUU
rnacentral:rRNA from 1 species